rnacentral:rRNA from 1 species
AGAGUUUGAUCCUGGCUUCAGGAUGAACGCUAGCGGCAAGGUUUAACACAUGCAAUUCGAGGGGCAGCAUGUCCAGCAAUGGAUGAUGGCGACCGGCGGAAGGGUGCGUAACGCGUGAGCAACAUGCCCUAUACAGGGAGAUACACCAGGGAAAACUUGGUUCUAAUAUCCCAUAGCAUUCAUUGAAGGCAUCUUUAAUGAAUUAAAGCUUCGGUGGUAUAGGAUUGGCUCGCGUGACAUUAGCCAGAUGGUGAGGUAACGGCUCACCAUAGCAAUGAUGUCUAGGGGUUUUGAGAGGAAGGCCCCCCACACUGGGACUGAGACACGGCCCAGACUCCUACGGGAGGCAGCAGUGAGGAAUAUUGGACAAUGGAUGGAAAUCUGAUCCAGCCAUGCCGCGUGCAGGAAGACGGCCUUAUGGGUUGUAAACUGCUUUUAUACGGGAGCAAUAAGGGUUACGAGUAAUCCGAUGAGAGUACUGUAUGAAUAAGGAUCGGCUAACUCCGUGCCAGCAGCCGCGGUAAUACGGAGGAUCCGAGCGUUAUCCGGAAUUAUUGGGUUUAAAGGGUGCGUAGGCGGCCAUUUAAGUCAGCGGUGAAAUUUUGCAGCUUAACUGUAACAGUGCCGUUGAUACUGUUUGGCUAGGAUUUGGUUGUAGUGUGCGGAAUGUGUGGUGUAGCGGUGAAAUGCUUAGAUAUCACACAGAACACCGACUGCGAAGGCAGCACACUAAGUCAUUAUUGACGCUGAGGCACGAAAGUGUGGGGAUCAAACAGGAUUAGAUACCCUGGUAGUCCACACUGUAAACGAUGAUAACUCGCUGUCGGCGAUACACAGUCGGGGCCAAGCGAAAGC